GCUGGGUGUGGUGGCUCACGCCUGUAAUCCCAGCACUUUGGGAGGCCAAGGCAGGAGGAUCACUUGAGCCCAGGAGGUCGAGGCUGCAGUGAGCCGUGGAGGCACCACUGUACUCCAGCCUGGGCGACAAAGCAAGACCCUGUCUCUA
rnacentral:SRP_RNA from 1 species